UGUAACUUAUUUAUUUUGUAAAAAUGCUUUUUUUGUACUAAUAAAGUCGCUAUACUGAAUAAAGGCAGUGUACAUACCUCGCGAGACUGAGGAAGUUCACCGAGGCUACCCUUCGGAAGUAAGAAUAAAACAAUCGGCUGUAGAGACGAUUGUGCUGGUCCCGAAGUUAACUGAACGACGCAGUCAGUCGAUCAAUUUAUCGAUCCUCCGACUCGAAUACCGGAAAGACAUAAAUAAGUAAGAAUUCUCUCUAUUUCUAUCGGGACUUGGCUACAAACGCAUAUCGAUAUCAGUGACCUACGGAAUCGAAUCGACUCCCUUCUGGCAAAAUAUCCCUUCUCCUGGCCUACUUCCAAAUUCUCAGAUUUAGAAAUUUGGAGAUAUGGAAAUUGGAAAAUUUUCGAAGUUGACUGCCCAUCAGUGCCCAAUGGGCAGGCUACACGUACCUCCUGCUCUACAUAGUCGAAAAACGAAUUAGAAGAAAUUUAUUAAGUGAAUGGUUAAGAACCGCCAUCAACAGCCUGUCAUCCUAAAUGAAUAAUUACGUUAACCGAUCGAGUAGUAUACUUUCUCGAGAAAUCGUCACGAUCACUGAGCUACUUAAUAAUAAAGGGGGACAGUUCGGUCGAUGC